rnacentral:rRNA from 1 species
UACGUAGGGCGCAAGCGUUGUCCGGAAUUAUUGGGCGUAAAGAGCUCGUAGGCGGUUUGUCGCGUCUGCUGUGAAAACUCGAGGCUCAACCUCGGGCUUGCAGUGGGUACGGGCAGACUAGAGUGCGGUAGGGGAGACUGGAAUUCCUGGUGUAGCAGUGAAAUGCGUAGAUAUCAGGAGGAACACCGAUGGCGAAGGCAGGUCUCUGGGCUGACACUGACGCUCAUGCACGAAAGCGUGGGGAGCAAACAGG